UACGUAGGGCGCAAGCGUUGUCCGGAAUUAUUGGGCGUAAAGAGCUCGUAGGCGGUUUGUCGCGUCGGGAGUGAAAUCCACUGGCUUAACUGGUGGCUUGCUUUCGAUACGGGCAGACUGGAGUAUGCAGGGGAGAACGAAUUCCUGGUGUAGCGGUGAAAUGCGUAGAGAUCCGGAGGAACACCAAAGGCGAAGGCAGUGUGCCUGGGAGUA
rnacentral:rRNA from 1 species